GAUGAACGCUGGCGGCGUGCCUAAUACAUGCAAGUCGAGCGAACAGACGAGGAGCUUGCUCCUCUGACGUUAGCGGCGGACGGGUGAGUAACACGUGGAUAACCUACCUAUCAGACUGGGAUAACUUCGGGAAACCGGAGCUCAUACAGGAUAAUAUAUUGAACCGCAUGGUUCAAUAGUGAAAGACGGUUUUGCUGUCACUUAUAGAUGGCUCAGCGCCGCAUUAGCUAGUUGUUAAGGUAACGGCUUACCAAGGCAACGAUGCGUAGCCGACCUGAGAGGUUGAUCGGCCACACAGGAACGGAGACACGAUCCAGACACCUACGGGAGGCAACAGUAGUGAAUCUUCCGCAAUAGGCGAAAGCCUGACGGAGCAACGCCACGUGAGUGAUGAAUGUCUUCGGAUCGUAAAACUCAGUUAUUAUGGAAAAACAAAUGUGUAAGGAACUAUGCACAUCUUGACGGUACCUAAUCAGAAAGCCACGGCUAACUACGUG
rnacentral:rRNA from 1 species